rnacentral:ncRNA from 1 species
GUCCGGAGUGGUAAGGAGACGCGCACCGCCCCGAAACAAAGAAAAAGGUGCGUGCCGCACUCACGAGGGUCUGCCAGUGAGAUACUGGAGGAAGGUGGGGAUGACGUCAAGUCCGCAUGGCCCUUAUGGGCUGGGCCACACACGUGCUACAAUGGCAAUGACAAUGGGAAGCAAGGCUGUAAGGCGGAGCGAAUCCGGAAAGAUUGCCUCAGUUC